UACGGAGGGUGCUAGCGUUGUUCGGAAUUACUGGCCGUAAAGCGCACGUAGGCGGACUGGAAAGUCAGAGGUGAAAUCCCAGGGCUCAACCUUGGAACUGCCUUUGAAACUCCCGGUCUUGAGGUCGAGAGAGGUGAGUGGAAUUCCGAGUGUAGAGGUGAAAUUCGUAGAUAUUCGGAGGAACACCAGUGGCGAAGGCGGCUCACGGGCUCGAUACUGACGAUGAGGUGCGAAAGCGUGGGGAGCAAACAGG
rnacentral:rRNA from 1 species